rnacentral:rRNA from 1 species
GACGAACGCUGGCGGCGUGCUUAACACAUGCAAGUCGAACGAUGAAGGAGGAGCUUGCUCCUCUGGAUUAGUGGCGAACGGGUGAGUAAUACGUGAGCAAUGUGCCCUUGACUCUGGGAUAAGCGCUGGAAACGGCGUCUAAUACCGGAUACGACCCUCGGAGGCAUCUCCUGAUGGUGGAAAGAACUUCGGUCAAGGAUCAGCUCACGGCCUAUCAGCUAGUUGGUGAGGUAACGGCUCACCAAGGCGACGACGGGUAGCCGGCCUGAGAGGGUGACCGGCCACACUGGGACUGAGACACGGCCCAGACUCCUACGGGAGGCAGCAGUGGGGAAUAUUGCACAAUGGGCGCAAGCCUGAUGCAGCAACGCCGCGUGAGGGACGAAGGCCUUCGGGUUGUAAACCUCUUUUAGCAGGGAAGAAGCGAAAGUGACGGUACCUGCAGAAAAAGCACCGGCUAACUACGUGCCAGCCGCCGCGGUAAUAC